UAGUGGCGGACGGGUGAGUAACGCGUGGGUAACCUACCCUGUACAGGGGGAUAACAGUCAGAAAUGACUGCUAAUACCGCAUAAGACCACAGCACCGCAUGGUGCAGGGGUAAAAACUCCGGUGGUACAGGAUGGACCCGCGUCUGAUUAGCUGGUUGGUGAGGUAACGGCUCACCAAGGCGACGAUCAGUAGCCGGCUUGAGAGAGUGAACGGCCACAUUGGGACUGAGACACGGCCCAAACUCCUACGGGAGGCAGCAUG
rnacentral:rRNA from 1 species